GACGAACGCUGGCGGCGUGCUUAACACAUGCAAGUCGAACGGAAAGGCCCUGCUUUUGUGGGGUGCUCGAGUGGCGAACGGGUGAGUAACACGUGAGUAACCUGCCCUUGACUUUGGGAUAACUUCAGGAAACUGGGGCUAAUACCGGAUAGGAGCUCCUGCUGCAUGGUGGGGGUUGGAAAGUUUCGGCGGUUGGGGAUGGACUCGCGGCUUAUCAGCUUGUUGGUGGGGUAGUGGCUUACCAAGGCUUUGACGGGUAGCCGGCCUGAGAGGGUGACCGGCCACAUUGGGACUGAGAUACGGCCCAGACUCCUACGGGAGGCAGCAGUGGGGAAUAUUGCACAAUGGGCGGAAGCCCGAUGCAGCAACGCCGCGUGCGGGAUGACGGCCUUCGGGUUGUAAACCGCUUUCGCCUGUGACGAAGCGUGAGUGACGGUAAUGGGUAAAGAAGCACCGGCUAACUACG
rnacentral:rRNA from 1 species